rnacentral:tRNA from 1 species
AGGGUAGUAGCUCCAAUUGGUAGAGCAACGGUCUCCAAAACCGUAGGUUGCGGGUUCGAAUCCCCCCUGCCCUGCCA